UUUAGAAUCUUAAAAUCAUAGUAGAGUUGCUGUUCAAUUCUUCCAAAUCAAAAAUCACGUUAUACGAUACAAAAAACUAAUACACUACCGUCUCUCUUAUGUAAAGAAAAAAUAUUUGCUACUUCUUGUUUAUUCUAUAUAAAUUUGAUUACGAACUUGAUAAGAAAGAUUAAUUUGAUGUGUCUUCAAUUCAACCAAGGAUAAAAGAUGGGC
rnacentral:lncRNA from 1 species